UACGUAGGGGUGCGAGCGUUGUCCGGAAUUUAUUGGGCGAAAGAGCUUGUAGGCGGUUUGUUCGCGUCUGCUGUGAAAAUCCGGGGCUCAACCCCGGGACUUGCAGUGGGUACGGGGCAGACUAGAGUGUGGUAGGGGGAGACUGGAAUUCCUGGUGUAGCGGUGAAAUGCGCGAUAUCAGAGGAACACCGAUGGCGAAGG
rnacentral:rRNA from 1 species